CAGAGAAUAGUUUAAUAAAAAUAUUAGUUUUGGAGACUAAUGAUAGGGGUAUCUCUUUCUCUGA
rnacentral:tRNA from 1 species